GUCCGGCUACCGCUGGUCCUGUCUGUUCUCAACACCAGCCGGUUUCCCUGGAUGAUCUUCACCGGUUGUCUUGGGUGACCGGCAAGUUUACUUUGAAAAAAUCAGAGUGCUCAAAGCAGGCGUGACGCCUGGAUAAUGGUGCAUGGAAUAAUGGAAUAGGACCUCGGUUCUAUUUUGUUGGUUUUCGGAACACGAGGUAAUGAUUAAGAGGGACAGACGGGGGCAUUCGUAUUGCGACGCUAGAGGUGAAAUUCUUGGACCGCCGCACGACGAACUACUGCGAAAGCAUUUGCCAAGAAUGUUUCCAUUAAUCAAGAACGAAAGUUAGAGGUUCGAAGGCGAUCAGAUACCGCCCUAGUUCUAACCAUAAACGAUGCCAGCCAGCGAUCCGGCUGUGUUCCUCAAAUGACACGCCGGGCAGCUCCAGGGAAACCAAAGCUUUUGGGUUCCGGGGGGAGUAUGGUUGCAAAGCUCAAACUUAAAGGAAUUGACGGAAGCGCACACAAGGAAUGGGGCCUGCGGCUUAAUUUGACUCAACACGGCAAAACUCACCCGGCCCGGACACAGGAAGGAUUGACAGAUUAAGAGCUCUUUCUUGAUUCUGUGAUAGGUGGUGCAUGGCCGUUUCUAGUUGGUGGAGUGAUUUGUCUGCUUUAUUGCGAUAACGAGCGAGAUUCCAUCCUACUAAAUAGGCGAACCGAUCCUUCGGAGUCGGACGUUCUUCUUAGAGGGACAAGCGGUGUUCAGCCGCACGAAACGGAGCAAAAACAGGUCAGGAUGCCCUUAGAUGUUCGGGGCCGCACGCGCGCCACAUUGAAGGAGUCAGCGUGUGCUCUCCCUGUCCGAAAGGACUGGGUAACCCGUUGAACCUCCUUCGUGCUGGGGAUUGGGAAUUGUAACUAUUUCCCAUGAACGAGGAAUUCCCAGUAAGCGCGAGUCAUCAGCUCGUGUUGAUUACGUCCCUGCGCUUUGUACACACCGCCCGUCGCUAUUAUCGAUGAAUGUUGGAGUGAGAUCUUCGGAUUGGUGCCCGGACUGGACUUCGGUUCGAGCCGGAGUGCCGAAAAGAGACCGAACUGAAUAUUUAGAGA
rnacentral:rRNA from 1 species